GCGGCCGUGUCGUAAUUGGCAGCCGAGUCUGAUUUAGGGUCAGAUGGGAGAAAUCCCGUGUGGGUUCGAGUCCCACCGGCCGCA
rnacentral:tRNA from 1 species